rnacentral:rRNA from 1 species
AGUGAACGCUGGCGGCAGGCUUAACACAUGCAAGUCGAGCGAGAAAGUGGCUUCGGUCAUGAGUAAAGCGGCAAACGGGUGAGUAACGCGUGGGAAUUUCCCUUCUAGUCUUGGAUAGCCCCGGGAAACUGGGAUUAGUACAAGAUAUUAUCUACGGAUGAAAGAUUUAUCGCUAGAAGAUAAGCCCGCGUGAGAUUAGCUAGUUGGUGAGGUAAUGGCUCACCAAGGCAACGAUCUCUAGUUGGUCUGAGAGGAUGAUCAACCACACUGGAACUCAGACACGGUCCAGACUCCUACUGGAGGCAGCAGUGAGGAAUAUUGGACAAUGGGGGAAACCCUGAUCCAGCCAUGCCGCGUGAGUGAUGAAGGCCCUAGGGUUGUAAAGCUCUUUCAGUGGGGACGAUAAUGACGGUACCCGCAGAAGAAGCCCCGGCUAACUUCGUGCCAGCCGCCGCCGUAA